rnacentral:rRNA from 1 species
GGGCUUGACAUCCCACGAACCUGCCUGAAAGGGCGGGGUGCCCGCAAGGGAGCGUGGAGACAGGUGGUGCAUGGCUGUCGUCAGCUCGUGUCGUGAGAUGUUGGGUUAAGUCCCGCAACGAGCGCAACCCUCACCCCUGGUUGCCACCGGGUGAUGCCGAGCACUCGAGGGGAACUGCCAGCGUCAAGCUGGAGGAAGGCGGGGAUGACGUCAAGUCAUCAUGCCCCUUACGCCCUGGGCUACACACGUGCUACAAUGGCCGGUACAAAGGGACGCAAGACCGCGAGGUGGAGCUAAUCCCAAAAAGCCGGUCUAAGUUCAGAUUGCAGUCUGCAACUCGACUGCAUGAAGGAGGAAUCGCUAGUAAUCGCGCACCAGCCCGGCGCGGUGAAUACGUUCCCGGGCCUUGUACACACCGCCCGUCACACCACGAAAGCUGUCUGUACUCGAAGUCGCUGAG